GCCGGUGUAGCUUAAUAGGUAGAGCGAUUGCUUCGUAAGCAAUAAGGAAGAGGUUCAAAUCCUCUCAUCGGCU
rnacentral:tRNA from 1 species